AGGGAUCAUUACACAAAUAUGAAGGCGGGCUGGAACCUCUCGGGGUUACAGCCUUGCUGAAUUAUUCACCCUUGUCUUUUGCGUACUUCUUGUUUCCUUGGUGGGUUCGCCCACCACUAGGACAAACAUAAACCUUUUGUAAUUGCAAUCAGCGUCAGUAACAAAUUAAUAAUUACAACUUUCAACAACGGAUCUCUUGGUUCUGGCAUCGAUGAAGAACGCAGCGAAAUGCGAUAAGUAGUGUGAAUUGCAGAAUUCAGUGAAUCAUCGAAUCUUUGAACGCACAUUGCGCCCUUUGGUAUUCCAAAGGGCAUGCCUGUUCGAGCGUCAUUUGUACCCUCAAGCUUUGCUUGGUGUUGGGCGUCUUGUCUCUAGCUUUGCUGGAGACUCGCCUUAAAGUAAUUGGCAGCCGGCCUACUGGUUUCGGAGCGCAGCACAAGUCGCACUCUCUAUCAGCAAAGGUCUAGCAUCCAUUAAGCCUUUUUUUCAACUUUUGACCUCGGAUCAGGUAGGGAUACCCGCUGAACUUAA
rnacentral:ncRNA from 17 species